AUCUAGCCGAAGAGUCCCAAAUAGGACGAAACGCACAUCUUGGAU
rnacentral:hammerhead_ribozyme from 1 species